rnacentral:lncRNA from 1 species
AGACGCGGGAGGCCGAGGUCCGGGUGGCCGCCGCGGCCGCCCCCGAAGCGCUGCUGUCACCCCGGCCGCGCCCCCCAACUUUCUGCACAGUCGCGGAGCUGGAAGUUUCCGGGCUUCGCGGACACGCUGGGCUGGGUUUCAGUCGCGGCUCCGAGGUAAACAAGCAAGUUCCACGCCCCAGUCCUGCUGGGGCCUUCGCCAGCCACCGCUCUGGGCUCAUCUCCCGGCGCCUCCUCGGGGCACCUGAGUGUUUUAAGCCCACUGCCAAGUGUUUUGGACACAGGUUUUUUUGCGGGGUGGUGAGGUUGGGCACAAGAUGCUUCCUAAAAGGUUGUUGGCACGCAGACCAUGGCCCCAGUGACGGCGCGGCAGGCAGGGGCUUGGAGGAACACGCUGUCUUUGUCUCGUCCCCAAAGCACCCGGCCGUGGGUCACCCGUGAUCCCUGGAGUGGAGGGACUGUUGUCACCCCUGGUGCUCCAGGAGAAGAGGUUCCAUGCUGGGUCCCGGGCCCAGGCCCACGGUGCCCUCAGCCCGCAGUUCUUCACCUUGCGGAAUGAUUUGCUGGCCCGGCCCAGCGCCCCGGCACCACCAUUUUCUGCCCUCUUUUCCCUGCCUGGCUUCAAACCCUCCCAGGCCAGGGUCCUGAGGAGACACCUGGGCUGGGGGAGGCAACUGAGUGGCCCCAGGCCUGGGAAUCUGCAAAAGUGGCCAAGCCACAUCUCUCGAGACUGCAAGGGCCCUGGAGGCGCUGGGAGGCACAGAUCUGGCUGCCAGCUGGGCCUGAGGCCUCCCUUUGUCCGUCCUUCUUGUCCUUCCUCACCAGGCGUGUUUAUGGAGAAGACACUCC